rnacentral:misc_RNA from 1 species
UUUUGUUUUACCUUUUCUUUUGCUUUCACUGCAUAGGAGGGACUCUGUAAUAUGCAGGCACUGUAGCGGGAAAGAACAUUUGUCUCACUCCUUCAGCCUUUAUUAUGGGAAAAAUUAUGCCUGCUGCUCCCGUAAUCAACCGAACUCCGAUCCAUAUACGCUUAGGAGAAGGGAAUGGGAUUAGCAACCGACCGACACCGUAUAUAGCAACAGCAAAGAAA